rnacentral:rRNA from 1 species
GACGAACGCUGGCGGCGUGCCUAAUACAUGCAAGUAGAACGCUGAAGGAGGAGCUUGCUUCUCUGGAUGAGUUGCGAACGGGUGAGUAACGCGUAGGUAACCUGCCUGGUAGCGGGGGAUAACUAUUGGAAACGAUAGCUAAUACCGCAUAAGAGUAGAUGUUGCAUGACAUUUGCUUAAAAGGUGCAAUUGCAUCACUACCAGAUGGACCUGCGUUGUAUUAGCUAGUUGGUGGGGUAACGGCUCACCAAGGCGACGAUACAUAGCCGACCUGAGAGGGGGAUCGGCCACACUGGGACUGAGACACGGCCCAGACUCCUACGGGAGGCAGCAGUAGGGAAUCUUCGGCAAUAGACGGAAGUCUGACCGAGCAACGCCGCGUGAGUGAAGAAGGGUUUCGGAUCGUAAAGCUCGGUUGUAAGAGAAGAACGAGUGUGAGAGUGGAAAGUUCACACUGUGACGGUAUCUGACCAGAAAGGGACGGCUAACUACGUG